UACGAAGGGGGCUAGCGUUGCUCGGAAUCACUGGGCGUAAGGGUGCGUAGGCGGGUCUUAAGUCAGGGGUGAAAUCCUGGAGCUCAACUCCAGAACUGCCUUUGAUACUGAAGAUCUUGAGUUCGGGAGAGGUGAGUGGAACUGCGAGUGUAGAGGUGAAAUUCGUAGAUAUUCGCAAGAACACCAGUGGCGAAGGCGGCUCACUGGCCCGAUACUGACGCUGAGGCACGAAAGCGUGGGGAGCAAACGGG
rnacentral:rRNA from 1 species